rnacentral:lncRNA from 9 species
CUUUUUUUUUUUUUUUUUUUUUUUUGCUUUUUAGGGUCGCACCUGUGCCAUAUGGAGGUGCCAGGGGUCAAAUUAGAGCUGUAGCUGCUGGCCACAGACACAGCCAUAGAGAAUCUGAGAUGCGUCUGUGACCCACACCACAGCUCAUGGCAACACCGGAUCCUUAACCCACUGAGUGAGGCCAGGGAUUGAACCUGUGUCCUCAUGAUUACUAGUUUGGUUUGUUACCGCUGAGCUGUGAUGGGAACUCCCAGCUCUUCUGCUUAUCAAGUGUUUUCUCUUUCAGUCCUUGCAACAACCUCUGAGGUAGAUAUUAUCAUCAUUCCCAUUGUGUAGAUGGUGACUCUGGGGCUCAGAGAGGUUCAGUAAUCCUGCCAGGGGCACAGAGCCAGCUCUAGUUCCUGGUCUGUGAGACGCCACAGCCUAAAGCCCAGCGGGUGGUCCUGCCCCCUGUCAUGAGGCAGAGGGGGGGCUUUCUCACUAAUACCUCCGGGCACCGGGUGGAGGCUGUUUGCUGUUUUGCGUAGGAGCAGGUGGAGCUGCUCCUCUGCUGGGGACACGGGGGCGGGGGGCUCCGUUGUAGGGAGGGAGGGAUGAGCUGGAGCUUAGGUUCUCCAGCCUUUGGCCCAUCCGGGCAGCUGUCUGCUGCGAGGGAAGGAAGCUGUAUAGGACGGUUGUUGAAAUACACACAGAGAGGCAAACCUGAUUUCAAAUAGGUCCAUGUUGGUUGUGUGACCUUGGGCAAGUAAGUCAUGGCUGAGGCUAUUGUUUCAUCUGUGAAAUGGGAGCAGUAAUGGGUAGCAGGUGCCGUGGCUGUUGUGAAGAGUAAGAAGACAGUGCUUGAAAAGCCCCUGCAUGAGCCCACCUCCCACCAAGUGCUCGGUAAAGCCCGGAAUCUGUUCUUGGCAUCAGUCUCCUGCAGCUUCCAUGCCUGAGCUUGGAGAUGGCACUGGCAUCUUUGUCCCGAAGCUGAUGAGGAUGAGGCUGAUGGGUCAGGAGGCACCGCCAAAGUGGAAAAUCACUGCAUGUGAUCACUCACUCUGGAACCCUAAAAUCUCAUUGGUUCAAUAAUCUAGCACACUGAUAAUGACCCCUCACAAUAUGGAGGGAGUUCCCAAUGUGGCACGGUGGGUAAUGACCCAGCACUGUCUCUGUGGCAGUGCAGGUUUGAUCCCCAGCCUGGAACAGUGGGCUAGGUUCCAGAAUUGCCUCGGUUAUGGUGUAGUUUGCAGCUGCAGCUAGGAUUCAAUACCUGGCCCAGGAACUUCCACAUGCCACAGUGAUAUCAAAAAAUAGAUAUUUUUAGACUAUUCCAUCCAAAAUCAGCAGAAUACACAUUCUUCUCAAGUGCACACUGAACAUUCUCUAGGAUAGAUCACAUUCUGGGCCACAAAUCAAGCCUCAGUAAAUUUAAGAAAACUGAUAUAUCAUAUGAAGCAUCUUUUCUGGUCACAACACUAUACGACUGGAAAUCAACGAGAAAAAAACCCCACACAAACAUGUGGAGACUAAACAACAUACUACUAAACAACCAAUGGAUCACUGAAGAAAUCAGAGGAAACUAAAAAAUAUCUAGAAGCAAAUGACAACAAGGACACAACACUCCAAAACCUUGGGAUGCAGCAAAAGCAGUUCUAAGAGAGAAGUUUAAACAAUAGAAGCCUACCUCAGGAAACAAAAAUCUCAAAUAAACAACCUAACUGUAUACCUAAAGCAACAAGAGAAAGAAGAACAGACAAAACCCAAAGUUAGCAGAAGGAAAGAAAUAAAGAUCAAAGCAGAAAUCAAUGAAAUAGAAACAAAGAAAACCCCAGAAAAGAUCAAUGAAACUAAAAUCUGGUUCUUUGAAAAGAUCAACAAAAUUGAUAAGCCCUCUGCCAGACUCAUCAAGAAAAAGAGAGAGAGGACUCAAAUCAAUAAAAUUAGAAAUGAUAAAGGAAAGUUACAACGGGCAUCACAGAAAUACAAAAGAUCAUGAGACUACUACAAGCAACUAUAUGCCAAUAAAUUGGGCAACCUGGAAGAAAUAGACACAUUCUUAGAAAGGUACCAUCUUCCAAGACUAAAGCAAGGAGAGACAGAAAAGACGAACAGACCAAUCACAAGUACUGAAACCGAAACUGUGAUUAAACAACUUGCAACAAACAAAAGUCCAGGACCACAUGGCUUCACACAUUUAGAGAAGAGUUUAACACCUAUCCUUCUGAAACUAUUCCAAAAAAUCACGGAGGAAAGAACACUCCCAAGCUCAUUCUAUGAAGCCACGAUCACCCUGAUACCAAAACCAGACAAAGAUACCAGAAAAAAAAAGAAAAUUACAGGCCAAUAUCACUGAUGAACAUAGAUGCAAAAAUCCUCAACAAAAUACUAGCAAAUCAAAUCCAGCUAUACAUUAAAAGGAUUGUACACCAUGAUCAAGUGGGAUUUAUCAAAGGAAUGUAAGGGUUUUUCAAUAACUGCAAGUCAAUCAGUGUGAUACACCACAUUAACAAACUGAAGAAUAAAAACCAUAUGAUCCUCUCGAUAGAUGCACAAAAAGCUUUUGACAAAAUCUAACACCCAUUUCUGAUAUAAAAAAAAACCUCUAAAAACCUACCUCAACAUAAUAAAGGCCCUCUAUGACAAAACCACAGCGAACAUCAUUCUCAGUGGUGAAAAGCUGAAAGAAUUCCCACUAAGAUCAGGAACCAGUCAAGGAUUUCCACUCUCACCACUGUUUUUCAAUAUAGAUUUGGAAGUCCUAUCCAUGGCAAUCAGAGAAGAAAAAGAAAGAAAAAGAAUCCACUUGGUAAAGGAAGAAGUAAAACUAUCAGUGUUUGCAGAUGACGUGCUACUGCACCUAGAAAAUCCUAAAGAUGCUACCAGAAAACUGUUAGAGUUCAUCAGUGAAUCUGGUAAAGUAGCAGGAUACAAAAUUAAUACACUGCAUUUUUUUUUUUUUUGUAGCUUUGCUUUUUAGGGCCUCACCUGCAGCAUUUGGAAAUUCCCAGGCUAAGGGUCAAAUCGGAGCUGCAGCUUCAGCCUACACCACAGCCACAGCAACAUGGGAUCUGAGUCAAGUCUGUGACCUACAUCACACCUCAUGGCAACGCCAGGUCCUUAACCCACUGAGCAAGGCCAGGGAUUGAACCCAAAUCCUCAUGUAUGCUAGUUGGGUUCAUUACUGCUGAGCCACAUCAGGAACCCCUUGACUGCAUUUCUAUAUGCUAACAAUGAAGAAUCAGAAAGAGAAAUUAGGGAAGCAAUCCCAUUUACCACUGCAUCAAAAAGAAUAAAAUAUCUAGGAAUAAACCUACCUAAAGAGACAACAGACCUAUAUUCUGAAAACGUUAAGAUGCUGAUGAAAGAAAUCAAAGAUGACACAAACAGAUGGAAAGAUAUACCAUGCUCAUGGAUUGGAAGAAUCAAUACUGUCAAAAUUGAUUAUACAGCCCAAGGCAAUCAACAGCUUCAACACAAUCCCUAUCAAACUACCAACAGCAUUUUUCACAGAACUGGAUCAAUAUUUUAAAAUGUGUUUUGUAACACAAAAGACCCUGAAUAUCCAAAGCUAUCCUGAGAAAGAGAAGUGGAGCUGGAAGAAUCAGGCUCCCUGAUUUCAGACUAUACUACAAAGCUAGAGUCAUCAAAACAAUGUGGUACAUGGAAUUCCCACUGGGAAUGGGAAUGGGAUCAUCGGCAUCUUGGGAGCACUGGGAUGCAGGUUCAAUCUUUGGCCCAGCACAGUGGAUUAAUGGGGAUCCAGCAUUGCCCAAGCUGCAACUUAGGUCACAACUGCAGCUUGGAUCUGAUCCCUAGCCCGGGGACUCCAUAUGCUGCAGGGUGGCCAAAAAAAAGAAAAAAAAAUAUGGUACUGGCACAACAAAAACAUAAAUGUAGAUCAAUGGAACAGGAUAGAAAAGCCCAGAAAUAAACCCAAGCACCUAUGGUCAACUAAUCUAUGACAAAGGAGGCAAGGACAUACAGUGGUUACUGAGCCAUAAAAAAGAAUAAAAUAAUGCCAUUUGCAGCAACACGGAGGGACCUAGAGAUUAUCCUGCUAAGUGAAGUUAGUCAUACAGUGAGAGACAAACAUCAUAUAAUACCACUUAUAUGUGGAAUAUAAAAACAGCAUACAAAUGAACUUAUUUUCAGAACCAAAAACAGACUUGCAGACUUUUAAAACCUUGUGGUUACCAAGGUGGACAGAUUGUGGGGAAGGGAUGGACUGGGGCUUGGGUGGAAAUGUUCCAAAGCUGGGUUGUGACGAUGGUUGUACAACCCAAGUAUAGUAAAAUUCACCGAAUUUUUAAAAGACUACAAUUGUGGGUUGCAGGAAUUCAGGCUUUGGGGGGCAUAAGCCACCUGCCUCCUUGCAAGGUCUGCAAUAAACCUUACUCUGCUUCGGAGUUCCCGUCAUGAUACCACCGUCACUGAAAACGGUGAAUAGGUAGGUGGGUCUUUGUUAAAAUUAAAAACUUCUGCGCAAAGGACACCAUCGAGAGUGAAAAUACAGCCUAGAGAAUGUCCGGAAGUGUUUCCAAACCUCUGUCUUCUAGGGUUAAAUUUCCAAAACACUUAAAGAACUCCAAAACUCAAUUUAAACAUGGGCAGAAAACUCGAACAGACCUUUCUCCAAAGGAGACACACGCGUGGCCAACAGCACGUGACGAUCUGCCCAACAUCAAUAGUCACCAGGGACACGCAAAGCAAAACAACUACACACACGCUAGGAUGGCCAUAAUUCUUUCAAAAUGCCAAGUAAGUUGUGGUGAAGAUGUAUGAGGGUUCGAAUGUUUCCACAUCACUGGUGGUUCUGUAAAAUGGUACAGCUUCGACGGCCACUAGCUCCUCGGAGAGUUCAACAGUUUUCACAGCAGUGAAAGCUGAGACCAACCCGCGUGUCCAUCACGGGAAGGACGGAUACAUAAAAUGUUGUCCGUACAUCCGGCGACACACCCAACAAAGGAGUGACGUUCUGGGCCGUGUUUCACAAGGAAUUAACCUUGCAAACAUUAUACUGGGUUUGACCCCACCGGCCUGCAAGCCUUGUGGUUGCCCAGCCUGGAGACCACAGC